rnacentral:rRNA from 1 species
GAUGAACGCUGGCGGCGUGCCUAAUACAUGCAAGUCGAGCGAACAGACUAGGAGCUUGCUCCUCUGACGUUAGCGGCGGACGGGUGAGUAACACGUGGAUAACCUACCUAUAAGACUGGGAUAACUUCGGGAAACCGGAGCUAAUACCGGAUAAUAUAUUGAACCGCAUGGUUCAAUAGUGAAAGACGGUUUUGCUGUCACUUAUAGAUGGAUCCGCGCCGCAUUAGCUAGUUGGUAAGGUAACGGCUUACCAAGGCAACGAUGCGUAGCCGACCUGAGAGGGUGAUCGGCCGCACUGGAACUGAGACACGGUCCAGACUCCUACGGGAGGCAGCAGUAGGGAAUCUUCCGCAAUGGGCGAAAGCCUGACGGAGCAACGCCGCGUGAGUGAUGAAGGUCUUCGGAUCGUAAAACUCUGUUAUUAGGGAAGAACAAAUGUGUAAGUAACUAUGCACGUCUUGACGGUACCUAAUCAGAAAGCCACGGCUAACUACGUG